rnacentral:RNase_P_RNA from 20 species
UUGCUCAUGUAAUCGCUGCAUCCUUUAGGAUGUAGAGGAAAGUCCAUGCUCACACGAGCUGCGAUGCUCGUAGUGUUCGUGCUUGACGAAGUCAUAAGUCAAGGUAGCUUUAAUGCUAACGGCAGAUAUGAUAUCCUAAGUUAUCUUAAAGAUAAUAUGGAUUCAUUCUUGAAAGUGCCACAGUGACGUAGCUAGAUCGGAAACUUUCUAGGUGGAACGCGGUAAACCCCACGAGUGAGCAACCCAAAUUAAUGGUAGGGGCAUCCUUUUAGUAGGGAAUUAGAACCGAAUAAGGGACAGAUUAAUGAUCUGUAGAUAGAUGAUUACGACCGGCGUACAAGGUUGACCACCGUUUGCAGUACAAUGGUACAGAACAUGGCUUAUCGAG